GUUUAACUUCUACGGAAUGAAUUCUAUCCUCAGAAAAGAAAGAACUCUUUAUUAAAGUUUACACCAGAUAAGUAAUACAAAGAAAACGAGAGGACUACAGAUAGAUGGACGCUUCAGUUGAGAGAAUCCGCGUCCCGCUGCCUCAUUCUGAAAAAAAGAACAAUUUCAGUUGCAGGGCGCGGCUGAAAGCGGGAGCGGUGGAUUUAAGACGUUUCUGAACGGAUCCCGGUUCGGGAACCUACGGUAUCUUCGAAAGGCUCGCUGCCCCGAUGCCGCAUUAUUGUUAGGUUGGGUUCUGUGGCGGUCUCCAGGUAGCCUAGAACAUGGAGCCUAGGUCAAGCACAUCAAGACCACCAGCCUUCCUGGACUUUUGAAAAAGGAGGACUUGUUAAACGGGGAUCAUCGGACGUUCUUAUCGAUUUCACUCACAUGACGCCAACACGAAAGCGUCCAGUGCCCAGCGGCUGUGGACCUCCGUAGCCCGAUGGAUCCAAUAAAGGAAGGCUAUUCAGCGCACACAAUCCCUUCCGAUACCGUAUUGAUCCCCUGCAGUCUGCAGACAGAGAUAGAGGGGAGGUAGUUCAUCUUUCCCUUCCCGUGUAUGUUUAAAAAACCUUAAAUAGAUUUGAGUAGGAUUAUACUUGCCAAAUACUAGGAGUGAUUAAAGGGAAGUGUACCUAAAAUAUAAAGUGAUUUUGCUGACCAUAGCAGUAUUUAUACGUGUCUAAAGGAAAUUAUUCCACAAAGAUCCUCUCAU